rnacentral:rRNA from 1 species
UUGGAGGGCAAGUCUGGUGCCAGCAGCCGCGGUAAUUCCAGCUCCAAUAGCGUAUAUUAAAGUUGUUGCAGUUAAAAAGCUCGUAGUUGAACCUUGGGUCUGGCUGGCCGGUCCGCCUCACGGCGUGCACUGGUCCGGCUGGACCUUUCCUUCUGGGGAAUCCCAUGGCCUUCACUGGCUGUGGGGGGAACCAGGACUUUUACUGUGAAAAAAUUAGAGUGUUCAAAGCAGGCCUUUGCUCGGAUACAUUAGCAUGGAAUAAUAGACUAGGACGUGCGGUUCUAUUUUGUUGGUUUCUA